AGCGAACGCUGGCGGCAGGCUUAACACAUGCAAGUCGAGCGCCCCGCAAGGGGAGCGGCAGACGGGAGAGUAACACGUGGGAACGUACCUUUCAGUUCGGAACAACCAAGGGAAACUUUGGCUAAUACCGGAUACGCCCGUAAGGGGAAAGAUGCAUCGCUGAAAGAUCGGCCCGCGUCUGAUUAGCUAGUUGGUGGGGUAAUGGCCCACCAAGGCGACGAUCAGUAGCUGGUCUGAGAGGAUGAUCAGCCACACUGGGACUGAGACACGGCCCAGACUCCUACGGGAGGCAGCAGUGGGGAAUAUUGGACAAUGGGCGCAAGCCUGAUCCAGCCAUGCCGCGUGAGUGAUGACGGCCUUAGGGUUGUAAAGCUCUUUUGUCCGGGACGAUAAUGACGGUACCGGAAGAAUAAGCCCCGGCUAACUUCGUGCCAGCCGCCGCAGUAAGAC
rnacentral:rRNA from 1 species